GGGAUGAAAAUCUCACUUCUCUUUCUUCUAUUUCUUGAGAGUGAGGGGAUAUAUCCAUCUGUAUAGAGUUCAUGACAAGCAGCCCUCCUGUCUUUUUGUAACUGAAGCGACUUUUAAUUGUCUUCAAACUUCCAGUGUUACUACUCUGCCAAGACAGGUGAUGUGAGAAGGAUGAAAAUGGGAGUAUUGG